rnacentral:rRNA from 1 species
AAAAGCGCAUGUGCUGUGAGCUCGAUGAGUAGGGCGGGACACGUGGUAUCCUGUCUGAAUAUGGGGGGACCAUCCUCCAAGGCUAAAUACUCCUGACUGACCGAUAGUGAACCAGUACCGUGAGGGAAAGGCGAAAAGAACCCCGGCGAGGGGAGUGAAAAAGAACCUGAAACCGUGUACGUACAAGCAGUGGGAGCACCCUUUGGGUGUGACUGCGUACCUUUUGUAUAAUGGGUCAGCGACUUAUAUUCUGUAGCAAGGUUAACCGAAUAGGGGAGCCGGAGGGAAACCGAGUCUUAACCGGGCGUUAAGUUGCAGGGUAUAGACCCGAAACCCGGUGAUCUAGCCAUGGGCAGGUUGAAGGUUGGGUAACACUAACUGGAGGACCGAACCGACUAAUGUUGAAAAAUUAGCGGAUGACCUGUGGCUGGGGGUGAAAGGCCAAUCAAACCGGGAGAUAGCUGGUUCUCCCCGAAAGCUAUUUAGGUAGCGCCUCGUGAAUUCAUCUCCGGGGGUAGAGCACUGUUUCGGCUAGGGGGCCAUCCCGGCUUACCAACCCGAUGCAAACUGCGAAUACCGGAGAAUGUUAUCACGGGAGACACACGGCGGGUGCUAACGUCCGUCGUGAAGAGGGAAACAACCCAGACCGCCAGCUAAGGUCCCAAAGUCAUGGUUAAGUGGGAAACGAUGUGGGAAGGCCCAGACAGCCAGGAUGUUGGCUUAGAAGCAGCCAUCAUUUAAAGAAAGCGUAAUAGCUCACUGGUCGAGUCGGCCUGCGCGGAAGAUGUAACGGGGCUAAACCAUG